GACAGAGGGGACAAGCGUUGCUCGGAAUCACUGGGCGUAAAGGGCGCGUAGGGGGGAUGGCAAGUCAGUCGUGAAAUCUCUCGGCUCAACCGAGAAACGUCGGCUGAUACUGCCGUUCUUGAGGGAUGCAGAGGAGACUGGAAUUCCCGGUGUAGCGGUGAAAUGCGUAGAUAUGUGGAGGAACACCAGUGGCGAAGGCAGCUCGCUGGGACGGUACUGACGCUGAGACGCGAAAGCGUGGGGAGCGAACAGG
rnacentral:rRNA from 1 species